GUAUCCUGUCUGAAUAUGGGGGGACCAUCCUCCAAGGCUAAAUACUCCUGACUGACCGAUAGUGAACCAGUACCGUGAGGGAAAGGCGAAAAGAACCCCGGCGAGGGGAGUGAAAAAGAACCUGAAACCGUGUACGUACAAGCAGUGGGAGCACGCUUAGGCGUGUGACUGCGUACCUUUUGUAUAAUGGGUCAGCGACUUAUAUUCUGUAGCAAGGUUAACCGAAUAGGGGAGCCGAAGGGAAACCGAGUCUUAACUGGGCGUUAAGUUGCAGGGUAUAGACCCGAAACCCGGUGAUCUAGCCAUGGGCAGGUUGAAGGUUGGGUAACACUAACUGGAGGACCGAACCGACUAAUGUUGAAAAAUUAGCGGAUGACUUGUGGCUGGGGGUGAAAGGCCAAUCAAACCGGGAGAUAGCUGGUUCUCCCCGAAAGCUAUUUAGGUAGCGCCUCGUGAAUUCAUCUCCGGGGGUAGAGCACUGUUUCGGCAAGGGGGUCAUCCCGACUUACCAACCCGAUGCAAACUGCGAAUACCGGAGAAUGUUAUCACGG
rnacentral:rRNA from 1 species